rnacentral:rRNA from 1 species
AUGGAAAAAUGUGGGAUCCGCAAAUACCGUAUUAUGGAUAUUUUGUGCUUUCAAUACGGUGGAUUUGAUAAGGUUGGAUGCAUAAAGAGGGACGUUUAUAAUUUCUGCCAUGCUAAUAAGCAGGAGACAAUCAGUGCCGGUGAUGCUAAUACGGUGAUCAUUCACAUGAUGGAGAGGCGAGAGCGAGAUGUGGAUUUUUUCUUCAAGUACUUGGUAGACGAGCAUGGCCAUCUGAAGGGACUGUUCUGGGCUGAUAGUCAGUCGCGACUUGACUACGAGGCUUUCGGAGACGUCAUUGUUUUCGAUAGCACAUACAGAACCAACAAAUACAAUCUGCCAUUCGUGCCGUUUGUCGGGUUGAAUCACCACCGCAGCACUGUUAUUUUGGCUGUGGUAUAA